UGCAUAUCUAAAGCACAGCACUUAAUCCUUUACAUUGUCUAUGAUGCAAAGACCUUUGUCUGUCUGCUGACCCUCUCCCCACAAUUGUCUUGUGACCCUGACACAUCCCCCUCUUCGAGAAACACCCACAAAUGAUCAAUAAAUACUAAGGGAAUUCAGAGGCUGGUGGGAUCCUCCAUAUGCUGAACGCUGGUUCCCCGGGUUCCCUUAUUUCUUUCUCUAUAUUUUGUCUCUGUGUCUUUUUCUUUCCUAAGUCUCUCGUUCCACCUUACGAGAAACACCCACAGGUGUGGAGGGGCAACCCACCCCUACAUUUUCCCCUGGUAUCAUUCUUUUUUUUGAGACUGAGUCUCAUUCUGUCACCCAGGCUGGAAUGCUAUGUCACGAUGUCAGCUCGCUGCAACCCUUGCUUCCUGAGUUCAUGUGAUCCUCCUGCUUUAGCCUCCCAAGUAGCUGGGAUUAGAGGCGUGGGUCACGAUGCCCGACUAAAUUUUUUGUAUGUUUAGUAAUGACUGGGUUUCAUCAAAUUGGCCAGUCUGUCCUUGAACUCCUGACUUCAAGUGAUGCGCCUGCCUUGGCCUCCCCUAGGGCUGUGAUUACAGGAAUGAGCCACCAGAACCCAGCCAAAUAUCCCCCACUGCCUUCUUUUUUGCUUUUUUCCUAAUCUCCUGAAGUCAUUCUUUGAGUUGUCAUGUAGAUUAAUAGGUUUCUCAAAUUACUGGAAAACUAGUUGAAGAAAUAAACAGGCAGUUUGUGAAUAUUAGAUAGAACAGUGGUGCUGAGCAUGGCUAAAGCAUCUCUGCAUUCACAGGGAGAGGAGCGGAAGACCUUCUGGUGUGGGCUGGGCAGCAAUUCACUUGCAGGAGAAACAGCCCGGGUGUGGAGAGGCAGCCAACCUUGGCGGGAUCCUUUCUAAGGAGCCGAGAAAUCAACGUAGAGCUUCCUCUGUCUGAUUCUUUAACAACUGCAGACCUUCCAUGAGUCAAGCUUUGUGUCAAAAGGACAAAUUAAAAGGACCUAUAAAAGGCAUCACCAAGCCCAAUGGACAGAUGCCCCAGGCUGCACAUUCUGUCAGUGCUGUUCUGGAAAAGGCGCAAACACAUGCUGAAACAUCGAAGGAUAAGAAGCCAGCCUUCGGGAACCGGCAGGAGCACCCUGGGCCCCGCAUGGCCCCAAGUCCAGCCUGCCCCGCCUCCUCUGGUGCAGAGGUCCAGGGACACCAGCAGCAGCCCCGCCACGCUCCCCAAGGCCAAGAACACAGGCGGCAGGGGCUUCCCCUCCCUGCCAGACUACUUCCUGCCGCCACAGCCACCACCCUUGGACGACCCAGAGCUCCCGCCGCCCCUGGACUUCGUGCUCCCUACCCCCGCGGUCGCCAAGAGGCCUCCUAUGCCCCACCCCCGCAAGAGACACGAAGCAUCAAUGUUCAGAAGCAGCAAAUAAAUAAAAUAAAUGAAUAAAAUAAAAAUAAAUAAAUAGCAUAUGUGUCCUGUUAGCCUCAUCAGUAACUUUAACUAGACAAAGAAGGUCUUGUCCCAAACAGAAACACUUUUCCGAACCAAAAUUAUCCAGUGUUCUGAGAUUCAUCUCAGUUAUGUAUUUGUUUUUUGUUUAUUUCCGUAGAGACUAGGCUUUAUUUUUUUCUGUUUAAAUUCCAGUGCCAUCACUUGCCAAAUUUAUGUCUCUGAGAUUUUCACACUUAAAAAUAUCUACCCUCUUUUAAAUACAUCCUCACUGAAAUGUCAGUUUUCUAAUUUCAUAGUAGCUUUUGUUAGUUUGUUCUGUAUUUCUUUGUUUGCAUUUUAUUCUAUUUAUAUAUAUUUUUAAAUAUAUUUAUAUAUAUAUAUUUUAUUUUACUUUAAGUUCUGGGAUAUAUGUGCAGAAUGUGCAGGUUUGUUCCAUAGAUAUGUAUGUGCCAUGGUGGUUUGCUGCAUCUAUCAACCCAUCAUAUAAAUUUUAAGCUCCACAAGCAUUAGGUAUUUGUCCUAAUUCUCUCCUUACCCUUGCCCCACAACCCUCAACAGGCCCCAGUGUGUGAUGUUUCCCUCCCUGUGUCCAUGUGUUCUCAUUCUUCAACUCCCACUUAUGAGUGAGAACAUGUGUUGUUUGGUUUUCUGUUCCUGUGUUAGUUUGCUGAGAAUGAUGGCUUCUAGCUUCAUUCAUGUCCCUGCAAAGGACAUGAACUCAUUCUUUUUUAUGGCUGCAUAGUAUUCCAUGGUGUAUAUGUGCCACAUUUUCUUUUUUUUUAACUUUGUUUUUGAGAUGGAGUCUCGCUCUGUCGACCAGGCUGCAGUGCAGUGGAACAAUCUCGGCUCACUGCAAGCUCUGCCUCCCGGGUUCAUGCCAUUCUCCUGCCUCAGCCUCCCGAGUAGCUGAGACUACAGGUGCCCAUGACCACUCCUGGCUAAUUUUUUGUACUUUUAGUAGAGACGGGGUUUCACUGUGUUAGCCAGGAUGGUCUCGAUCUCCUGACUUUGUGAUCCGCCUGCCUCAGCCUCCCAAAGUGCUGGGAUUACAGGCGUGAACCACCGCACCCGGCCUAUAUGUGCCAAAUUUUCUUUAUGCAGUCUAUCAUUUAUGGGCACUUGGGUUGGUUCCAAGUCUUGGUGUUGUAAACAGUCCUGCAAUAAACAUAUGUGUGCAUGUGUCUUUAUAGUAGAAUAACUCGUAAUCCUCUGCGUAUAUAUCCAGUAAUGGGAUUGCUGUGUCAAAUGGUAUUUCUGGUUCUAGAUCUUUGAAGAAUUGCCACACUGUCUUCCAUGAUGGUUGAACUAAUUUACACUCCCACCAACAGUGUAAAAGCGUUCCUAUUUCUCCACAGCCUCAUCAGUAUCUGUUAUUUCCUACUUUUUAAUAAUAAUCACCAUUCUAAGUGAGAUGGUAUCUCACUGUGGUUUUGAUUUGCAUUUGUCUAGUGACGAGUGAUGAUGAGCUUUUUUUUUCAUAGGUUUGUUGACCACAUAAAUGUCUUCUUUUGAGAAGUGUCUGUUCAUAUCCUUUGCCCACUUUUUGAUGGGGUUAUUUGUUUUUUAUUGUAAAUUUGUUUAAGUUCCUUAUAGAUUCUGGAUAUUAAAACUUUGUCACAUGGAUAGAUUGCAAAAAUUUUCUCCCAUUCUGUAGAUCACCUGUUCACUCUGAUGAUAUGUAGAAAGCAGAAAAUGGACCCCCUCCUUACACCUUACACAAAAAUUAACUCAAGGUGGAUUAAAGACUUAAAUGUAAAACCUGGCCGGGUGCAGUGGCUCACACCUGUAAUCCCAGCACUUUGGGAGGCCGAGGUGGUGGGGAGUUUGAGACCAGCCUAACCAACAUGGUGAAACCCCAUCUCUACUAAAGUAGCUGGGCAUGGUGGUGUGCACCUGUAAUCCCAGCUACUCAGGAGGCUGAGGCAGGAGAAUCUCUUGAACCGGGGAGACAGAGGUUGCAGUGAGCCGAGAUCGUGCCACUGCACUCCAGCCUGGCGACAGAGCAAGACUCCAUCUCAAAAAUAAAUAAAUAAAUAAAUAAGUAAAUGGAUAAACAAAAACCAUCAAAACCCUAGAAGAAAACCUAGGCAACAUCAUUCAGGACAUAGGCAUCGACAAAGACUUCAUGACUAAAACACCAAAAGCAAUUGCAAGAAAAGCCAAAAUUGACAAAUGGUAUCUAGUUAAACUACAGAGCUUCUGCACAGCAAAAAAAACUAUCUUUGUUUGGAUUUUAAAUAUCUUAGAAUCACGGUCUGUGGGAAUCUUAGAAGUUCUAAGGUACAAUUUCCUGAUUUUAUAUUAGAAGAUAUGAUGACACAUUUAAUUACCCAUUUUGUGCAAGUUCAUGAAGCUCAAGUUCAUAAUCAAGACUGGAGCUGACUUCCCUGUUCUGUCAGUAUCAAAGCUAAAGACUGGAACUGACUCCCCUUGUUUCUCAGUAUCAUGGCCGGAGAAUCACUUGAGCCCAGUGUGUAAGAUAUACAUGAUCUGGAGCCCGGUAUCUCUGACUUCGUGCAUAAUACCUUGCCCUGCUCACACUACUUAAGUUCACAGUCCUCCCUGUGGUUCUCUGAACACCAAGUACAUGCCUUGCAUGGGAUGCCUUCCCGGGUACUCCCUCUUUAUAGAACGCUCUUCCCCCAGGCAUCUGCACUGUUAACUGUUACACCUUCUUCAAGUCUUUGCUCAGUUGUCACCCUCUCAACAAGACUCACCACCAAGUUUUAAGUUUCAUCUUCCCACAAAAAUCUCCACCUUUUAAUUUAAUGUUCAUCAGUUUAAUUAUCUU
rnacentral:lncRNA from 1 species